UACGGAGGGAGCUAGCGUUGUUCGGAAUUACUGGGCGUAAAGCGCGCGUAGGCGGCUUUGUAAGUUAGAGGUGAAAGCCCGGAGCUCAACUCCGGAACUGCCUUUAAAACUGCAUCGCUUGAAUCCAGGAGAGGUGAGUGGAAUUCCGAGUGUAGAGGUGGAAUUCGUAGAUAUUCGGAAGAACACCAGUGGCGAAGGCGGCUCACUGGACUGGUAUUGACGCUGAGGUGGCGAAAAGCGUGGGGAGCAAACAGG
rnacentral:rRNA from 1 species